rnacentral:rRNA from 1 species
AUACGUAGGGGGCGAGCGUUGUCCGGAAUGAUUGGGCGUAAAGGGCGCGUAGGCGGCCUGUUAAGUCUGGAGUGAAAGUCCUGUUUUCAAGAUGGGAAUUGCUUUGGAUACUGAUGGGCUUGAGUGCAGGAGAGGUUAUCGGAAUUCCCGGUGUAGCGGUGAAAUGCGUAGAGAUCAGGAGGAACACCAGUGGCGAAGGCGGGUAACUGGACUGCAACUGACGCUGAGGCGCGAAAGUGUGGGGAGCAAACAGGAUUAGAUACCCUGGUAGUCCACACUGUAAACGAUGAAUGCUAGGUGUAAGAGGUAUCGACCCCUUUUGUGCCGGAGUUAACACAAUAAGCAUUCCGCCUGGGGAGUACGGCCGCAAGGUUGAAACUCAAAUGAAUUGACGGGG